ACUGUGAAAGCACUGAAAGGCGGCUUUUGCCGAUCGAGAAGAGCAAAGCUUGCCCUUUCAUGGCCGCCAUGGGGUAGCUUUACACCCCCUCUCCCUUUCUGCUCCGCUGUUCACUGAUGGUGUGCGCGUUAGUGGCGAUCCAUCAUCCGUCAUCUCCCCUCGCAAUCACAUGCUCGCCAGGGACGCCAUGACAACGACCGGUUACCUGAGGCGGAGGCCAGCGCCGGGAACCGGGGGCACCCGCACACGGCGACACGCAGCCGAAGACGCUGCUGACUUUGACGGGAUCAACACAGCAAAGGAUGGUUUCUGUGC
rnacentral:lncRNA from 1 species